GACGUAGGGUGCGAGCGUUGUCCGGAAUUAUUGGGCGUAAAGAGCUCGUAGGCGGUGUGUCGCGUCGGCCGUGAAAACCUGCAGCUUAACUGUGGGCUUGCGGUCGAUACGGGCAUCACUGGAGUUCGGCAGGGGAGACUGGAAUUCCUGGUGUAGCGGUGAAAUGCGCAGAUAUCAGGAGGAACACCGGUGGCGAAGGCGGGUCUCUGGGCCGUAACUGACGCUGAGGAGCGAAAGCGUGGGGAGCGAACAGG
rnacentral:rRNA from 1 species